AUAACGUUGUAAUUGAAAGAAAGAACGACAUAAACUGUACACUUUAUAAUGAUAAAAGUAAAAGUUUCAUGUUGCAUUGUAGUAGAUAACCCUGGCAAUAUUGUCAAAGGUAAUCUGAAGCUUUACAUUUAGUCAUUAACUUUUUAUACACUGAAUAGACAAUGGAUAACUUGGUAUGAUGGUGAAUUGUGCUGUUAGCCAUCAGGUGAAAAAAGCUGACAGGAACUGUCACUUUCAGUAUUUGUCAUCUGGUAGUUAGUUUAUUUAUUUUUUGACCUUUUCGAAUUUUGGUCAGAUUAGCCUUUCACUUACUGCUACUGCUAAAAGGGGAAACAACAAUAAGGGUAAAGGAGAUCCUGGAUUGCCUGUGUGUGUGUGUGUGUGUUUGUGUGUGUGCGCGUGUGUGCAUGUGCAUGUGCGUGUGCGUGUGUGUGUGUGUGUGUGUGUAUGUUUUGCCUAAUAAUGUGCUUUGUCAUGUUUGUAAUGGGCAGAAAUAAGACAGAGUCAAAGAGUCUCAUCAAAUCAAAAUAUAACCUCAAUGAUCACCUGACUGCAGACAAAUAAAAGGUCUGUCACAUAAUGAAGAAACGAAAAAAACAAAACAGAAAAGGAAAGCACCUUCCUCUAAACAUCCCUCUGGUGGUGAACUUCAUAAUAGCUCCUGCUGCUACAGAGCGCUUUGCCACAGCUGGAGGAUAUAUUGUAUUGUGGGAGAUGAUUAAACAUGCAGGAUGUUCAUUUUAUUUCUGGGAUUCAGGAUGGUAUCAACAGGUAACCUUCCGUCAGAUCAAAGAUCUUCUUGUCACACUUCACUUAACAUAUUGUAAAAAAAAGUUUCUGUAUCUGUAGGUGUUUACAUUCUGUCCACGUUGUAAAGAUACGCUUUAACAAUUGUGCUCCUUCGUCCACAGUAAACAUUUUGCCAAUCUUGAUCUCAGGCUGUUGUGCAGUCGCUGUUUUUCUGAUUGUGUUGACAUUUUGCUGUGUGUGUCGGAGAGCACGGCGCAACAAGAAGAAAGGCAAAAAGGGUCACGUCAAAAAGUUAGAACAAAGUCCUUCAUUGUGAGUUUGGACUUUAAUGAACUCAACUGAGCACAUUAUUACUGAAGAACACUGACUGUAAACAAACCAGCAAACAGGACUUUUAAUAAAACAAACUUGGGAUCUUGGAAGUCUCAGAAGAACAAAGAAAUGAAACUUUUUCGUUUUGGAUGAUUGUUUGACUUGAUGCCGAACAGUUAUUUUGUGUCUGUCUUCUUUGUCAUAAUAAAUCCUCGUAGAUCUGCA